UCCACUCCUUGCUGGCCUUCAACCCUGCACUGCUGCUGUGUGGUCUGAGAAGGACAGAGCAGCCAGACCUGACAAUAAUCUUCCCCAUUAGGGACAUAAACUAAAUUUGAAUAAGAGCAGCCUAAGUUCACAAGAGCUUUCAGGAGACAGUUCUUUUGCACUAGGGGCUCUUCCUAGCUUCAGUGGGGCAUCAAUGGCAUCCAGGGGUGGCUAUAGACAAUUGUUGCCCUCUCCUCAAAUGGUGAGUCUGGCCUGGGUCUUUUCCUGCACAUACUUUGGACAUUGAUUUAUUUGUCUCUCCCUUUCCUUUUCCCCUCCUUCCUUAUCCCCUGCUCUCCCCCUCUCCCCGCCCCGCCCCCCCCACACACACCAAGGGAGGAAUGAAACUCAUGAAGGAUAAAGCCUGUCAGCUCCCAAAAAAACAAUUCUCUCAUUUGCAGAGGGAGGAAGAACUCUAAAAUCUAGCUUUUCACAUCCCCUUGUUGAGCUUUAAUAGGAUUCUAUUUGGAACAGAAGACUAGCAGCCACCCACACUCACCUGCCCAUCUUGUAGUGAUUUGCACAUCUCUUUCCAAUUCCCAUCCUGUAAACUUUAGGAAAAUCAAAAGUACCUAUUCAUCAAGAAAAGACUACAUACUUAAUAGAUUCAGUUCUUGUUGGAAAAAAAGAAACCUAAAUAUAAUGAAUUAAAUGUCAAAAGAUUUCAGUGGACGAUUCUUAGAAUCAGGAGAAAUAUAUAGUUAUAGACACAGUUCUGUUAAUAUAACCCAGAAUUGGAUCUGUCUCCUUCCCUCCUAAUAUGAUUAUUUUCCCCAGGUGGCCCACACUCUUACAACGUAAGGAAGAGCUAAAUGCCAAGGGGAUUUUUUGGGUUCCCUCUCUUUCCUGCUUGGUUUUGGGCAUGCCAUGGAAAACAGUGCCUGUAGAAAAUUCUGUUGUGUUCUGUUACCUACAGUUCACAGUCCAGGAGAAGCCACUUGGAAAUUAGAUUUCUGUUCAGAAAUACGAUUUUAUUUAUUUGAGAGAGAGAGUGAAUGAGCAAGAGAGCACAAGCAGGGGAGCAGCAGAGGGAGAGGGAGAAGCACGCUUUCCCUGCUGAGCAGGGAGCAGCAUACGGGCUCCAUCCCAGGACCCUAAGAUCAUGACUCCAGCUGAAGGCAGACGCUUAACCAACUGAGCCACCGAGAUGCCCCUCAAGGCUUCUCUUCCAAUGAAUCUCUCACCCAUUGGAUGUGGAUUCUCUUGGCAUCUGCUUCAAGGAGAACUUGAGUGAAGACCACCAACAAUGAUAUUUCACAUCUCCUUCCCUCCUUUAUUUUUUCCAUUUAUCUCGUAUUAUUUAACAAGCUCAGUUGUACUUAUUUAUCUUGUUCAUUGUUUUUCUCUUCUGUCCUUCAAAUCUAAGCUUCAUAAUUCUAUUUGUCCUCUGUUGCUUCCCCAAUCCCUAGAAUGAUUCCUGGCUCAUAGUAAGUGACAAAAAAGUAUUUGUUGAGUGAAUUAGUGAAGGAAAAGACAUUAAAUAAAACGCAAAUAAAGUUCCUGGAAAAAAUGAAAAGCCCGUUGAAAUUUUUUAAAGUUCAUCUUAAAAAAUAAAAACUUAAAAAUAGGCAAGAAAAUGCCAAAACAUAAUAGCAAUAUAUGAUACGAGAUAUUGAAGAAUAUAAAGACAAAAUAAUUAAAGCAGCCUGGAGAAAAAGCUAAAAUCAGUUCUAAAC